rnacentral:siRNA from 1 species
GAAAAAGCUGUGUGUAGUGUGAC